AUGAAGACAUACCAGGUUAAAAAGACUCACAGCAGAAAACAGCUGUCCUGUAUUGAAACCAGCCCUGCAUUAAAGCCAGCAACUUUCUUACAGCAGUGCCAUGAAGAGCUCUUGAGACCACUGAAGCACAGACCACUGGAUUCUCCAGGUGUUGCUAAAAUAGAAGAGCUUAUAUAAAUCAAGGUGGUGGAGCUGACUUGGUAAUCUCUUUGCAUUACACAUUUGUUCUGUGCUCAGUGAAUUAAUUCCCUGUAGGAUGUUUGUACUGAUACAGUGUGAGGCUUAAAGAAACUCUGGAUGCCACAGUAUGGAUUUGUGUGCGCGGGUUUGAAGAAGUGUUUGUUUAACUUUUGUGAGAGCCCUGCAUGUAUAGAAUGGAUGUAACCUAUUAGUCUUUUGUACAUCCAGCUAAUAGCCCAUGGCUAAAGGAAUAGACUAGAUGUAGUGAAUUGCCUCUGUGCUAUGGUACUAGCAUACUUUAUCUCUUGUGCUUGGAAAUAAUAUGAAUAGUGAUGUUGUAGUUAGAAAAGGGUUCACAUAAAUGUUACUUCUGCCUUAGAUGGGGAUCUGGUAAAAAAAUUUAUCUCCCAAUGUGACAAUACAAAAUUAUUCACUAUAGAUAUAACUUUUACAAUCACAUAAAAGAUUUAGGUAUUUCAAUCAAAGAGGUAUGCUCUCUAGCAGUCUGUUCUUUUUGUAGAGACUCUCCUUGGAUUUUCAUCUCUGAGACCCUGACUCUGUAGUGAUUCAGGUGAGUUCUUAGUUUUCUUUAUUAGCAGACAAACAGAAUAGUGAGAAUCCACAUAUUUUCCAUCUGCCUUAUCUUUUCCCUUAUCUUUUCUCCAGAUGGUUCUUAGUAAUAUAUAUGUAUAUACGUGUCAUUCUGCCAUUAAUACACAUAUACUAUUUUGAGAGUUUGACAUGUCCUGAUUUACCAACGACAGUGUUAUGGAAUAAAACAAUGCCUGCAUAGCUAUAAUAAGGGAUCUCCUUCCUAAUCCAUUUUUUGUGAUAGAGGGUCAUAAUUUUU
rnacentral:lncRNA from 1 species